rnacentral:rRNA from 1 species
UACGAAGGGGGCGAGCGUUGUUCGGAAUUACUGGGCGUAAAGGGCGCGCAGGCGGUCCUUCAAGUCAGAUGUGAAAGCCCCGGGCUCAACCUGGGAACUGCAUUUGAGACUGGAGGACUUGAGGACGGGAGAGGAGAGUGGAAUUCCCAGUGUAGAGGUGAAAUUCGUAGAUAUUGGGAAGAACACCUAUGGUGAAGGCAGCUCUCUGGGACGGUACUGACGCUGAGACGCGAAAGCGUGGGGAGCGAACAGG